rnacentral:rRNA from 1 species
AUAUCAAUAAGCGGAGGAAAAGAAACCAACAGGGAUUGCCUUAGUAACGGCGAGUGAAGCGGCAACAGCUCAAAUUUGAAAUCUGCCUCUAGGCCGAGUUGUAAUUUGUAGAAGAUGCUUCGGGUGUGGCACCGGUCUAAGUUCCUUGGAACAGGACGUCAUAGAGGGUGAGAAUCCCGUACGUGACUGGCCGCCUUCGCCCGUGUGAAGCUCUUUCGACGAGUCGAGUUGUUUGGGAAUGCAGCUCAAAAUGGGUGGUAUAUUUCAUCUAAAGCUAAAUAUUGGCCAGAGACCGAUAGCGCACAAGUAGAGUGAUCGAAAGAUGAAAAGCACUUUGGAAAGAGAGUUAAACAGUACGUGAAAUUGUUGAAAGGGAAACGCUUGGAGUCAGUCGCGUCGGCCGAGACUCAGCCUCGCCCUCGGCUUGGUGUACUUCUCGGCUGACGGGCCAGCAUCAAUUUUGCCCCUCGGAUAAUGGCAGGGGAAAGGUGGCACCUUUGCGGGUGUGUUAUAGUCUCCCGUCGCAUGCGAGGGGUGGGAUUGAGGAACUCAGCACGCGCCUCUCGGCUCGGGGCUUCGGCCCACGUUACGUGCUUAGGAUGUUGGCGUAAUGGCUCUAAACGA